AAAAAAAAAAAAAACUAAGAACAUGGCUCGAUCAAAGAAUCAAUUGCGACAGCUAUUGCGUCUCCGUUUAUACUGCGUUGCAAAUCGUGAAUUCUUUAAAGUGGUCAAGCGUAAAUUGCGAGUAACAUAAAGAUAUAGAGGAGGCUAUCAGUCAUUGGAGCUUUUCAGAAAUCUAUAUGUUAGAGAUCUCGAUCAUAAAUAUCAGGCAUCGUAUUGGGCCUAUUUACUCGAAAGCCCACUAUGAUUAUUAUGCAGGAUCCGCGUGUUUUACCGUUUGUAGAUCCGAGACCCGCGUAUUUUACCGAAUGGAGAUCCGACUAUAGGAUCCAAGAUCCGUGUGUUAGUGAUAGUCAAAUUGUCCAUUAUACCCCUUGACGAAAUCUUUUAGUUAGUCAUAGAUUGAAAAAUUUCCAAUGGCAUUCAAUGUAAUACUUUACCCUUAAUGAGGUUAUUUAUUUUGCAAUGCUUCCCAAUUAA